AUUAGUAAAAGAUAAAUACUUAAAAUUUAAAAAAUUUGGCGGCAAUUUAAUCUAUUCAGAGGAACCUGUUUUAGAAUCGAUAAACCACGAAAAAUCUUACUUGCUUUAGUAAUUCUAACAGUUUGUAUACCAUCAUUAUCAGAUAAUUCUUAAAGGAAAAAUUAUUAAAUUUAGUUGUUUAGUAAAAUUAGAUCAUGGUGCAGCCAAUAAGCAAGGUAAAAUGGGUUACAGUAAAUUACUUUACUGCGGAUUAAUAAGAUAAUAUUAUUAUAAAGAUGGAUUUGAUUGUAUUUUUAGUUUAAUAAGCUAACAAGAUAUAAGUUCUAAAUUGUGUACAUAUCGCCCGUCGCUUUCAUUUAUAAGUGAAAUAAGUCGUAACAUAGUAGAUGUACUGGAAAG
rnacentral:rRNA from 2 species